CGUGGUAGGCUCGUCGUCCCGUCCCUCCCCUCCCCGCGAUCGCUCUACAGAAAUUACAUGGAUUGCCACCGCUUCUCUUCUCCUUCUCUCCACGGGCGCGCUCGGUACAGAGGAAAGAGAGCCAACGACAGGAGGGAGGGGCCGCCACCGUCGGACUCGACCGCCCGCGCCAACGCCAACGGAUGAGAUCUCCACCGCCGCGUCCCUCCCUCUCCUCAUCCCGAUCUGGAUCGCCUCCCUCCGCUCUCCCGUCAUCCCGAUCUGGAUGGCCGCAGCGGCAUCGCCGCCCGCCGCUGGGGCCAUGGCGCCAGCCCGAGCCGCUGUCCGCCUCGUCCUCUCCUCCUCAUCCUGAUCUGGAACGCCGGCAGGUGCAUCGCCGCCCGCUGCCGGGGACAACCCGCCUCGCCCUCUCCCCCUCAUCCCGAUCUGGAUCGAGCCAACGAGCGUCUGUACCCUUUCCCCGCCGCAGGGACAUCGCCGCCCGGCCCGAUUCCGCGUGUGGGGCGUGGACUCGGACCCCCUUGACUACCUCAGCGGGUCAAGCGGCUGGUCCUCCGGAGUUGGAGUUCUCCUGAUCCGUUCAGAGGUUAGCGGUGAUUUCUGUUCUUUUCUUUUGCAUUACAAGCACUAAGACAUGUGACACAUGAGUUAGAAACAUCCAUUUUUACUGCUACUAAGUUCCUAUGAGUACUCAUUAUUAAGUUUUACUAUUUCCAGUGAUAUAGCUAUAGCUGCAAGGCAUAUUAAGUGUUUUAGUUCCAUCUAGGCAUACAAUCAGAUACAAGUUUAUCAUUCCCUGCUUAGACAUCAGCUAUGUAACAGUAGCAAGAAAAUCAUGUUCGGAGUUAAGUGCAAUGGAGUAGAAAGUCAUGGUUUCUUACGGAAAAUUGCAGGUAAUCACGAGAAACCUUUUUUUUAAUCUUCUGAGCAUUCUUUUUAUCACUUAGGCUGCAUACAGGAUGGCAAGAUGGAAGGACAAAAUUGAGAAACCAUACUGAUAUACUGUUUACUUGUUCUCUUUUUGUGCAGUUUGUUAAUUCUUUGUUUUUCCUUGCCAGUAGCUGGCCUUAUUAGGAGACAGUGGCUUUUUCUCAGUACCACAAUAGCCAAGGCAUGUCAUUGAGAAAACAUCGAGACUGAUUCAAGACUGCACAAGUGCGCAUUAUUCCAGUUUCAUAGCUGCUGCAAUCUAAUUGUUAGGUACCUCCAGAUUUGAGAUGUUGUUAAUUGACAUUCCACUUAUUGUUUUGCUAGGAAACCUCAUGUUAUAUCUAUCUUACAACAAUGGCAACUUCAGAAUUGGAGUGAUGUUCUUUCUUUCCAGUUUCUUAGUACCAUAAAUAAUUCAGACACUCGGCAACAAUAAUUCAGAGUUAGCUAUUUGAUGACUAGCAAGUAUUGCGUUUUAUUGCUCUUUCUUUCCCUCGUCAUUUUAGGACGAGGUCCCCUGAUAGGCUUAGAUUUUUUAUGGUCCGAAAUAAGCCUUCAACUUUAGAUUUUCCAUGGUCCGAAAUAAGCAGUAACAAUAAGCAUCUGAACAGAUUUAUCUUGGUCACAGUACUAUUCAGAUGCUAGGUCUCAGAAGCUCAUCUGUGAAAGUUCAUAGCAUGUUUUGCUUCGCAAGUGUUCAUAACUAUCAAAAUAUUAUUUGGCCGCAUUCUGGGAAAUAAGGAGGACUGUCCCUUGUGCUUACUUUAUGUGGACAGUAAGAGCGGCAGGCUAUAUGCAGAGUAAUGGAAAUUGUUCUAGCCAAACUGAUUAGUGAGCUAGCUCAUAGAUUUAUCUAGCUAUUUACAGAGGCUCUAAACAGAUGUCUCCACUAAACUAUCCCAGCUUGAUUUCUAAAUCACAUUUGUAACAUUGGGGUUCAUCAUGUAAUGAAACUUCUUCACACGAAAAUAAGAAGCACACAAUGCUCUUAAUGUUCAACCUGUCUGAAUUGCUGAACAAUAUAUAUAUGUGUUAUAUGUUGGGUGUAUUUGGACAGAUGUAAUUUUAGGGAAUC